UUUCUAGUGUAGAGGUGAAAUUCGUAGAUAUUAGAAAGAAUACCAAUUGCGAAGGCAGCUUUCUGGAUCAUUACUGACACUGAGGAACGAAAGCAUGGGUAGCGAAGAGGAUUAGAUACCCUCGUAGUCCAUGCCGUAAACGAUGUGUGUUAGACGUUGGAAAUUUAUUUUCAGUGUCGCAGCGAAAGCGAUAAACACACCGCCUGGGGAGUACGACCGCAAGGUUAAAACUCAAAUGAAUUGACGGGGACCCGCACAAGUAGUGGAGCAUGUGGUUUAAUUCGAAGAUACGCGCAGAACCUUACCAACACUUGACAUGUUCGUCGCGACUUUAAGAGAUUAAAGUUUUCGGUUCGGCCGGACGAAACACAGGUGCUGCAUGGCUGUCGUCAGCUCGUGUCGUGAGAUGUUGGGUUAAGUCCCGCAACGAGCGCAACCCUCACUUUUAGUUGCCAUCAUUAAGUUGGGCACUCUGAAAGAACUGCCAGUGAUAAGCUGGAGGAAGGUGGGGAUGACGUCAAGUCCUCAUGGCCCUUACGUGUUGGGCUACACACGUGCUACAAUGGUAUUUACAACAGGAAGCAAAACGGCGACGUUAAGCAAAUCCUUAAAAAAUACCUCAGUUCGGAUUGCACUCUGCAACUCGAGUGCAUGAAGCUGGAAUUACUAGUAAUCGUGGAUCAGCGUGCCACGGUGAAUGCGUUCCCGGGUCUUGUACACACCGCCCGUCACACCAUGGGAGUUGGUUCUACCUUAAGGCAAGGUUUCAAACCCUUGACCACGGUAUAGUCAGCGACUGGGGUGAAGUCGUAACAAGGUAGCCGUAGGGGAACCUGCGGCUG
rnacentral:rRNA from 1 species